rnacentral:misc_RNA from 1 species
UUUCCGUAGGUGAACCUGCGGAAGGAUCAUUAUCAUGUAAUUCAGUCCCCUUGGCUGUGUUAUAUAUAUACCCACUCUGUGUACCCUCUCCUGUUGCUUCCGCUGGGUGUGUAAUUCGCCCGGCGGAAGGGUAAAAAUAACCUCUGAGUAUUGAUGAAAUCUCUGUCUGAACCGAAUAGAAAGAAAAAUGUUAAAACUUUCAGCAACGGAUCUCUUGGUUCUC